UUGCGAAGGGAAAGUCGACAGCUAGGAAGACGGCUGACAGCCUGUCACAGGAAGAGAAGAAUUCCACGUGAGGAGGGAGACCGUGGAAGAGCUGCUGGUUUGUUAUGUUGAGUAGAUGCUCCUGGGAACUCAAGAUUUGUGUAUAAAAGGGAAAAAUGGAGUUCUUCAAGAUUGGCUUCUUUUGAGAGUCAGGCCUCUCCAUUUCUGAAAACAAUAAAGAAAAACUGGUCAGAAGAACAUGCAGUUAGACAGAGGAUGAAGAAAGGUCAUGUGGGGCUAGCAAAAGAUGCUGAUAAACAACUUCAGUGCAGCUCUGACUUCCAGUGAGAAUCGCCUGGAAGCAAUCGUGACAGCGUGAGGAGAAUCAACUGGAUGUGGCUGUGGCCUUGCUGUGGGAACAGGAUGCUGCUGUUGCUUUGUGUCCCGUCCAAGAAUGAUACUUCACAUCUGUUAAACGCCCCACAGCCUGGAUCUUGUCUCGGUGACGCUGUCCUGAAGGUCACCAACCAUCAGCUUGUCAAGUCCAAGUGCAGCCUCCCUCCUUCACACAGAGCGUCUGUUGUUCGUCGUCCACACCCUAAUCAUCUUUUGAUUAGACGUUCUCCCCGUGUUCUCCUGGGCUCCGUCUGACCGUUUGAGCUCUCGCUUCUGGAAUCCCGUGUCCUCGCUCUCCUGGAUCACUUCUCCCCACUCUUCUCACUCCCACACUCUCGCUGUGUGGUUUGAUUCAGCUGCAGUUCACAAGAUGAUGACUUCAGCCUAGACAUUUCUUUUCACUCUGACUCAUCCUUGCUGGAGCUGCUGGUCAUCAGAGGGGGUCACGUGGUCCCCGAAGGCAACAGUUCCAU